rnacentral:rRNA from 1 species
UGGGGAAUAUUGGACAAUGGGGGCAACCCUGAUCCAGCAAUGCCGCGUGAGUGAUGAAGGCCUUCGGGUUGUAAAGCUCUUUUGUUAGGGACGAUAAUGACGGUACCUAACGAAUAAGCUCCGGCUAACUUCGUGCCAGCAGCCGCGGUAAUACGAAGGGAGCUAGCGUUGUUCGGAAUUACUGGGCGUAAAGGGCGCGUAGGCGGUUAAUUAAGUCAGAUGUGAAAGCCUUGGGCUUAACCUGAGAAUAGCAUUUGAUACUGAUUGACUAGAGAUCGAGAGAGGAAAGUGGAAUUACGAGUGUAGAGGUGAAAUUCGUAGAUAUUCGUAAGAACACCAGUGGCGAAGGCGGCUUUCUGGCUCGAUACUGACGCUAAGGCGCGAAAGCGUGGGGAGCAAACAGG